rfam:Lactobacillus ginsenosidimutans strain EMML 3041, complete genome.
UCAUUACGUGUUUUUAUCAGAAGCGAUUUUGAUAAAAGCAUGUAAAUAGAUGAGUUCAUAACGCACGCCCUUGCUGUGGUAGUCACCGAGGGGAUGCGUUUUUUU